AUUGAACGCUGGCGGCAGGCCUAACACAUGCAAGUCGAGCGGGGUUUUCGGACCUAGCGGCGGACGGGUGAGUAAUGCGUAGGAAGCUACCCGAUAGAGGGGGAUACCAGUUGGAAACGACUGUUAAUACCGCAUAAUGUCUACGGACCAAAGUGUGGGACCUUCGGGCCACAUGCUAUCGGAUGCGCCUACGUGGGAUUAGCUAGUUGGUGGGGUAAUGGCUCACCAAGGCGACGAUCCCUAGCUGGUUUGAGAGGAUGAUCAGCCACACUGGAACUGAGACACGGUCCAGACUCCUACGGGAGGCAGCAGUGGGGAAUUUUGGACAAUGGGGGCAACCCUGAUCCAGCAAUGCCGCGUGAGUGAAGAAGGCCUUCGGGUUGUAAAGCUCUUUUGUCAGGGAAAAAACAGCAGCUCUAACACAGUUUGCGAAUGACGGUACCUGAAGAAUAAGCACCGGCUAACUACGUGCCAGCCGCCGCCGUAACAC
rnacentral:rRNA from 1 species